AGUAACGCGUGGGUAACCUGCCUCAUACAGGGGGAUAACAGUUAGAAAUGACUGCUAAUACCGCAUAAGCGCACGGGGAUGCAUAUUCUUGUGUGAAAAACUCCGGUGGUAUGAGAUGGACCCGCGUCUGAUUAGCUAGUUGGUGAGGUAACGGCUCACCAAGGCGACGAUCAGUAGCCGACCUGAGAGGGUGACCGGCCACAUUGGGACUGAGACACGGCCCAAACUCCUACGGGAGGCAGCAG
rnacentral:rRNA from 1 species